GCGGAGGGCCGGAUGGCCGCGGGGGCAGGCUGGAAACGGCGUCUCCGAGGAAAGUCCGGACUCCACAAGGCAACGGUGCCGGGUAACGCCCGGCGGGGGCGACCCCAGGGACAGCGCCACAGAGAACAGACCGCCCUGCACGCAGGGUAAGGGUGAAACGGUGCGGUAAGAGCGCACCGCGGGACCGGCAACGGGACCGGCAUGGCAAGCCCCACCGGGAGCAAUGCCGAAUAGGAACCUCGCGCGGGGCGGGCAGGUCGGGCAACCGAAACCGCCGCCACCGCAGGGCCGCCUUGGCCCGGAGGUUCGGGUUGGCAGCUUGAGGCGCCGGGCGACCGGCGUCCCAGAUGAAUGGUCAUCGAACCGGCUUCGGCCGGGGAACAGAAUCCGGCUUACAGGCCCUCCGCGCAC
rnacentral:RNase_P_RNA from 2 species